rnacentral:lncRNA from 1 species
CCCCCCUCCACGGCCUCUCCUCCUCCUCACCGUCACCAUCAGAUGCAUCGAGAUCCGCCGCUCCCCUUCCCCAUCACCUUCUUUGUCCGCCUUUCGAUCUCCCUCGUCAACCACUAUCGGUAGGCAUCGAAACUUUCCUAUCGGCGAUUUAGGCCUUGCGAUCACCUUCGGAUUUAGCUCGUCUGACCUUCGAUCCUCCCUCGAGUUUUUUUUUCUUAAAAAUAUCACGGAAGAUGGAGAACUGUGAGGAGGCAGG